rnacentral:lncRNA from 1 species
GGGUCUAAUCUGACGGUUCAUCAGCACUUCAGCAUCAUGCACAACUGGUCAGCUUUGCUUGCACACAGCAUUGCACAGGAAAAGGUCGCUCCAACUACUAUAAUCUGUAGCCCUUUCUCUUUCAUGGGAAAAGCCCGGAGAUCAUGCAGAUAGCAAUCGCUUUCCCCCCAUUUAAAAGAUGCAGUUAUGUUUUCGGUUGCCAGGAUUGACAACAACUACAAGCCUGCACCCGCAAAAAAAGAAACAAUUACAAGCCUGAAUCUGGACAUGGACAUCGGUUGCCCAGAAAAGCCACUUUCAGAUGCUAUAAAAAGGCGUAAAAGGCGGCUGAAAUUAGUUUGCCAGCAGAGCACAUCACCAAGAAAAUCAAAUGCACGGUGACCCCGAGCCUUUUCCAGCAUUGUGGACGCCCACAUGCAGGCAGCUUGAUGAAUUGUAGCCGUGGUAUAGCUGGCAAAAUAUCUUAAAGCUAGCCCGGACAAUUUUGGGCCAAGUUUUUCUUCCCAGGAGAACAUACGCCUC